rnacentral:rRNA from 1 species
GACGAACGCUGGCGGCGUGCCUAAUACAUGCAAGUAGAACGCACAGUUUAUACCGUAGCUUGCUACACCAUAAACUGUGAGUUGCGAACGGGUGAGUAACGCGUAGGUAACCUGCCUGGUAGCGGGGGAUAACUAUUGGAAACGAUAGCUAAUACCGCAUAAUAUUAAUUAUUGCAUGAUAAUUGAUUGAAAGAUGCAAUUGCAUCACUACCAGAUGGACCUGCGUUGUAUUAGCUAGUAGGUGAGGUAACGGCCCACCUAGGCGACGAUACAUAGCCGACCUGAGAGGGUGAUCGGCCACACUGGGACUGAGACACGGCCCAGACUCCUACGGGAGGCAGCAGUAGGGAAUCUUCGGCAAUGGACGAAAGUCUGACCGAGCAACGCCGCGUGAGUGAAGAAGGUUUUCGGAUCGUAAAGCUCUGUUGUAAGAGAAGAACGGGUGUGAGAGUGGAAAGUUCACACUGUGACGGUAUCUUACCAGAAAGGGACGGCUAACUACGUG